GAGAGAGGGACAGAGAGCCUGCUUGCUUUAAAGGAGCAAAGCGGGAGAGGAGAGGAGAGGAGCCGCUUACACUUGUGUAAGCGGCUCCUGUCCGGUUGGCUCCUUUAAAGCAAGCAGGCUCUCUGUCCCUCUCUC
rnacentral:miRNA from 1 species